GCAAUACACAAGACACACACAACCAUGGCAUCCAAACCAAGGACCACAAUGGAACACACAAGACUCAAAAACCACAGCAUCCAAACCAAGGACCACAAUGCAAUACACAAGACACACGCAACCACACAGACAACUCAAACGACACAGACGUCAUCACAAUGCAAUACACAGGACACACACAACCACACAGACGACUCGAAUGACACAGACGUCAUCACAAUGCAAUACACAAGACACACACAACCACACAGACGACUCAAAUGACACAGGCGUCAUCACAAUGCAAUACACAAGACACACACAACCACGCAGACGACUCGAAUGACACAGACGUCAUCACAAUGCAAUACACAAGACACACACAACCACGCAGACAACUUGAAUGACACAGACGUCAUCACAAUGCAAUACACAGGACACACACAACCACGCAGACGACUCGAAUGACACAGACGUCAUCACAAUGCAAUACACAAGACACACACAACCACGCAGACGACUCGAAGGACACAGACAUCAUCACAAUGCAAUAAAGACACACACAACCACACAGACGACUCGAAUGACACAGACGUCAUCACAAUGCAAUACACAGGACGCACACAACCACGCAGACGACUCGAAGGACACAGACGUCAUCACAAUGCAAUACACAGGACACACACAACCACGCAGACGACUCGAAUGACACAGGUGUCAUACCGCGUGGGAGGGGCCAGCUGGCAUCCCAUGGGCCGAAGAAGUCCUGGCUGCUCCAGACAAGGCACCCUCAUGGGGGGUGAGUCAGGGUGGGGAAAGGGCCCUGAUGACAGACUCCAAAGCCAGGGUUUCUGGGUGAGGGUCCCAUGUGUCCCCUCUGACCCUGCCUUCUGGAUGUCCCAGCAGCUUGGCUGCACCUUCCUGGCUCCGUCCUCUUCUCACACGGGGCACCUCCGACCAGCCCCAGGAGGACAACUUCUCUUCACAGAGGGUCCGUGUCUCCCUGGACUCAGUACUUCUGCUGCACCUAUCCCUUCCCACCACCCAUCUCAGCCACUGAAUCACCUUGGAGAAGGCUCCUGAGCUAGGAGCACUGGCCCAGGGCCUGCGAGGGCUCCAGGGCAAGACAAAUG
rnacentral:lncRNA from 1 species